rnacentral:rRNA from 1 species
CACGUAGGGGGCAAGCGUUGUCCGGAUUUAUUGGGCGUAAAGAGCUCGUAGGCGGUUCGGUAAGUCGGGUGUGAAACCUCCAGGCUCAACCUGGAGACGCCACCCGAUACUGCUGUGACUAGAGUCCGGUAGGGGAGCGUGGAAUUCCUGGUGUAGCGGUGAAAUGCGCAGAUAUCUGGAGGAACACCGGUGGCGAAGGCGGCAUCCUGGACCACGACUGACGCUGAGUGAGCGAAAGCCAGGGGAGCAAACGGG